rnacentral:lncRNA from 1 species
CUAGUACUAAAAACCUGAGAAGCAGUUACUUAUACCCACUAAGAGCAACUAUUUUUAAUUGUUGGGGGUAAUUCUUAAUUUUUUGAACAGGAUGCCCGUAGCUAUUGAUUGAUUUAUUAAUUUUAAACAUUUCCUACCACCCAUGUUUCUUCUACAUUCUCCCUUUUGAAUUAAAUCAUUUUAAAAGUUUGUUAACAUUUUAUUGCAGUACAUAUGCCAAAAAGUUCAUAAAUUUGAGCUCAGUGAAUUUUUAAGAAAAUGUACUUUUUGAGAAGGUAAGUUAUAAAUAACCACCCCUCCAGCUCCCUUUGUAUCUUUCCAAUUCUUAGCCCCCAACUUCUGUCACAUAAACUAGUUUUGCCUGGUUUUGUAUUUGAUGUAUAUUAGAUAGCCUUUCACUUAUGAUUUUGUCCUUUCAGUGUUUCGAGACUGAGCCAUUGUGACAGUAGUUCCUUUGUUUAUUGCUGUGUAGUAUUUAAACACAUGAAUAGGCCCUUACUUUUCAUUCAGCCAUUACCAUUUUUGGUUUGGAGCUAUUAAGAACAGUCUUUGUAAACAUUUUAAAUGUCUGGGCACAUGUAUCAUUUUUGGAAUGGAAUAUGCUCAUCUUUGUUGUAUACUGCUCAAGUUGUUCUUUUAUACUCCAUGAGAAGUGUAGAAGAACUCCAGUUUUCCCAGCCCUUGCUAAUUCCUUGAUAUUGUCAGUGUUUUGUUUAGACUUAUGUGUCUUUAGUCACCAAGUUAAUCAUUGUGGAUUCAUUUUGUAUUUUCCCAAUGACUAUUGAAAUGGAACUCAUUUCAUGUUUAUUAGCUGUCUAGAUAUCAUCUUCUUUGAAGUGCCUGUUUAGUCUUUGGGCCCUCUUUCUAGAAUGUCCUGUUUAUUCAGAGAUUCUGUAUAUAUUCUGAGUAUGAGUCCUUAUUAGUAUUUAAGUGUUAUAUCAAAG